AGAAGCCCGGCUCGUGAGCCGGGCUAGGAGGUUCAAAAUGUUUGAACCGAUUGGUUCUGGCGGAUUAAGCCAUCUCAAACCAAACGCGAUUAAUGGCUUCGACGUCGGCGGGGGGGGGCGGGGGCAUCCAACCUCCCCUGGGGACCAUAAGCUUGUCGUUGGAGUCCAUCACGGCCAGCACAGCAUCGUGGGCUUCCUUGGGGGUGAGAUUGGUAUGCACAUAGAACAGCGACUGCUG
rnacentral:misc_RNA from 1 species